AUGUAAGUAGUAUUUAUUAUUAAAAGGUCUCUACUGAAAGAAAGAGACCUAGGAGGAAUGCAGUGCCCGGCGCUGAUUGGAAAACGGGUGGCGCUGCGUCCUGGGCCGAGGCUUCCCUAGCAAAAACCUUGUCUCCCUCGCCAUUUCGUCCCUUGCCUCCCUUCCCAGGAGAGACGUGGCCAAUAGAAGCCGAGUGGCAGUAACUCUAAGUUGGAGUUAGACGGUGGAGAAGGAAGCACUGAACCAGACUCGGCUCUUCCCUUUCUUCCUACCCCAGCCACUCAAGCAGGUGCUUGGGUUCUAUGCCGAUGACCUCAUGGGAGAGAUCUGAUUGGUCAGAAAAGCAGCAAUUGGGCUGGGCACAGUGGCUCAUACCUGUAAUCCCAGCACUUUGGGAGGCCAAGGUGGACAGAUCGUUUGAGUUCAGGAGUUCAAGACCAGCUUGGGCAACAUGGCAAAACCCCCGUCUCUACAAAAAAAACACAAAAACUAGCCAGGCUUUGUGGCAUGCCCCUGAAGUCCCAGCUACUUGGUAGGCUGAGGCAGGAGGAUGGCUUAAGCUUGGAGGUGGAGAUUGCAGUGAACCGAGAUCACAACACUGUACUCCAGCCUGGGCAACAGAGCGAGACGCCAUCUCAAAAAAUAAAUAAAUAAAAGUAAAAAAAAGAAAAAAAGAAAAGCAGCUA